rnacentral:rRNA from 1 species
GACGAACCGUGCGAACGUUAUUCGGAAUCACUGGGCUUAAAGCGCGUGUAGGCGGGUGGGAACGUCGGGCACUGAAAGCCCCCGGCUCAACCGGGGAAGGGGUGCCGAAACGGCCCGCCUGGAGGGGCGUAGGGGGACCUGGAACUUCCGGUGGAGCGGUGAAAUGCGUUGAGAUCGGAAGGAACGCCCGUGGCGAAAGCGAGGUCCUGGACGUCAUCUGACGCUGAGACGCGAAAGCUAGGGGAGCGAACGGG